CCUACGGGCGGCAGCAGUGGGGAAUAUUGCACAAUGGGGGAAACCCUGAUGCAGCAACGCCGCGUGAGUGAGGAAGUAUUUCGGUAUGUAAAGCUCUAUCAGCAGGGAAGAGAACAGAAGGUACCUGAAAAAGAAGCACAGGCUAAAUACGUGCCAGCAGCCGCGGUAAUACGUAGGGGGCAAGCGUUAGCCGGAUUUACUGGGGGUAAAGGGAGCGUAGACGGAAAGGCAAGUCAGAAGUGAAAGCCCAGGGCUCAACCAUGGAACUGCUUUUGAGACUGUCUAACUAGAGUACGGGAGAGGUAAGAGGAAUUCCUGGUGUAGCGGUGAAAUGCGUAGAGAUUAGGAGGAACACCGGUGGCGAAGGCGUCUUACUGGACCUAAACUGACGCUGAGGCUCGAAAGCGUGGGGAGCAAACAGGAUUAGAUACCCGUGUAGUC
rnacentral:rRNA from 1 species